UGUCAUUCUUCAGUUACUAUUUCUGAUUGCUUGCAACACAAACACAGAUGCCACACAAACAUUCUCACACACAUUCAGAGAUUGAUUCACUCAUCAGAUAAUGCAACUGAUUGGAACAUGCUAGCCAGAAAUGUCUAAUAGGAGAUUUUGGAUACUCUUCUUUUUUCUCGGUAUCAUGCAUUUUAGCUAAAACGAUAUGUUUUCACUUAAAGAUGAUUGGAACAGGAACC
rnacentral:lncRNA from 1 species